rnacentral:rRNA from 1 species
GCACCCGCGGUAAUUCCAGCUCCAAUAGCAUAUAUUAAAGUUGUUGCAGUUAAAAAGCUCAUAGUUGGAUUUCUAGAUAAGUGGGCACUUGUGCUUUGCUUGUCUACCAGUCUUAGACUGUUACUGUGAGAAAAUUAGAGUGUUUCAAGCAGGCUGUUGCAGGAAUACAUUAGCAUGGAAUAACGAAUGUGUCUGGAAUAUUGGUUAAUUCUAGAUUACGAUUAAUAGG